UACGGAGGGUGCAAGCGUUUAAUCGGAAUUACUGGGCGUAAGCGUGCGUAGGUGGUUCGGUUAAGUCCGUUGUGAAAGCCCCGAGCUCAACUUGGGAAUUGCAGUGGAUACUGGCGAGCUGGAGUGCGGUAGAGGAAGGUGGAUUCCCGGUGUAGCGGUGAAAUGCGUAGAGAUCGGGAGGAACACCAGUGGCGAAGGCGGCCUUCUGGACCAGCACUGACACUCAAGCACGAAAGCGUGGGGAGCAAACAGG
rnacentral:rRNA from 1 species